AGGGAUGAACCGACCCUCCUUCUUAUAUAUGUUUUGAAAGGUACACCACUCAAUCAACUCCAAUUACAACAAUGGUUUACAACAAAUAAGCCUCACAACCCGAGAGUAACGUGUUGUUGCUCUACUUGCUCCCUACCCGGUGUAGUUAGGAGGGCACGAGGUACUACCAGUAGCCCCCCUCUUGUGCCGUCCCUCUAUACCCUAACACCGAAUAGUUGGGUCAAAUAGCGCCGGGUACUACCAUUAGCCUCCCCGUUGGCACUAUCCCUAUGAUGAGCAAAAUAGAAAAACAAACCGUCCUCUUUACAAAAAAAAAGUGUUCUCACUCCCUUUUGCAAGCAAGGAAUUAAAAGUGCCGAAAUUUAAGUGCUACUUGCAAGUAAAGAACUUCUAGUUUACCCUCCCACACUCACAACAAGAAAGUCUAAGUGCAAGAAGUAGUAGGAAUCUUAAGGCUCACUUCUAAGCAUGCAAGAAAGUAGUGCUCCUUAAUCCCCACCCGAAUUGAAAAUUUCUUGGUUUCAAAGGCGUUACCUCUUUGGAGAGACCUCCCUCGGAAGUCUCUCAAUGAAAGCACCAAUGUUGGAGGGUGGCUUUCGGCCCCAAGCCACCACACCAAGUCUUGCACGUUUGCUCCUUGUGGAUGACUUAGAGUUGUAGGUAAAGGGCCGAGCGGGUAACGCCGUGGUAGUGUGAGCUU
rnacentral:lncRNA from 1 species